rnacentral:rRNA from 1 species
AGCGAACGCUGGCGGCAGGCCUAACACAUGCAGGUCGAACGAACUCUUCGGAGUUAGUGGCGGGCGGGUGAGUAACACGUGGGAACGUGCCUUUAGGUUCGGAAUAACUCAGGGAAACUUGUGCUAAUACCGAAAGUGGCCUUCGGGGGAAAGAUUUAUCGCCUUUAGAGCGGCCCGCGUCUGAUUAGCUAGUUGGUGAGGUAAAGGCUCACCAAGGCGACGAUCAGUAGCUGGCCUGAGAGGAUGAUCAGCCACAUUGGGACUGAGACACGGCCCAAACUCCUACGGGAGGCAGCAGUGGGGAAUCUUGCGCAAUGGGCGAAAGCCUGACGCAGCCAUGCCGCGUGAAUGAUGAAGGUCUUAGGAUUGUAAAAUUCUUUCACCGGGGACGAUAAUGACGGUACCCGGAGAAGAAGCCCCGGCUAACUUCGUGCCAGCCGCCGCCGUAA